rnacentral:misc_RNA from 1 species
CUGAAGUAAAAGUAGUUUUUAUGAAUGUUUUUAUACCAUGGUAGUAUUUAGGAUUUGAGUAUCCCUGCACCCGGAAGUGCCGUCGACCUUCAAAUGUACUUGGAUGUAGUAGUAGGCGGUAAUGUAGGCGAGACUGUUUGUCAUAUACUAUGUUUUUCUAAAAUAGUGCGUUAAAUGAAGGAUGAGAGGCUUGUAAAAAAAAAAAAAAAAGGGGGAAAUGAUUUAAUUAAAAUUCACGAGUCGAAUGUAAUAUGCGCAUUUGAAAGGGUUGAUUUCAGUUGAGUGGGCUGGGAUAAUAUUCUGCAUUGCUAAAUUAGGAACGAGAUGGUCGCUUUUCCUUGAGAAAGGUUAGAUCAAGGUUAAGAUUUUGAGGGGGAGGUGAAAGUAGUAUUUGAUGAAAUACGUGUUUUGAAAGCGUAAACAUCCUGUAAGCGCACAAGGCGAGACUUGUGAAACUUUCACUUGAUCAUUACAUUUCGAAGCGGUGAGGUUGGUGCUAUCAUCCUCCAUAAGGAUUACAAUGGAAGCUCGUAAUGAACGCAAACGUAGAUGUGUUGACACGUUGGGGGAUGUGCAGCCGUCGGAAGAUCUUAUUUUAAACCUCGCUCCCGAGGAAGGCGAAACCUCCCGCAAAAAACUCAAAAAAAUUAAAAUAUACAUUGGAAAAAAUGUUUCAAUAGAAACUUGUGACUUCAAAAAUGUCAAUUAUGUUUCAUUUGUAAGGGUGUAUCCCGAAACCGCCGCCACCCCAAAAGAUUUAAUAUAAAUAUGAAUUGUAUUGAUCGUAUAAUCGAAGCUUUGGGGGUGAUUAAGAGUCACUGUAUGUAAAAUUAAA